rnacentral:lncRNA from 10 species
GGAGGAGGGGACGGGCGGAGGGGAGGGGUCCCCGGCCCGCCCGCUAGGCGGGGACGCGGCGCCGGCUGGUUCCCGGUCCCCCGAGGCCCAGGCGCAGCCGGGGGUGGGGGACACGGAGUCAGGCCUGGCACGCGGCCAGCCCACAAGCUGCUGGAGACCCCCUCAUACAAAUCUUGCCCCCAGUCCAGAGGGUCCUAAUCUGAGAACUCCAAAAUACAGCCUGGAGACAAAUGGUGGGGAGGGUUUCCCCUAAAUUUGGACAUCUCCAGAUUAAGACCUCCGCCGAAUCCGUGAGGCUUUCCCUCUCCAAGGAGCUCCUAAGAGAAUUUCCCAGUAAAAUCGCCUCAACUGCGGUAAAUAGGCUGUUCCCCGCGCCAGCAUUUGAGAAGAGCUGGUCCCCAGAGUGUAAAGGAGUUAGGAUGUUGGCAGGAGGAAGGAUGUGUCGCCGGAUGAGGAAAAGAAAGGUGGGUGUCUGCGGUGCAGUCCUUGGUCUUUCUGGCAAGUGAGGCGCUCUCCCCCUAAAUGUCUCAGAGGGAGACAAAUCAGCGGACUACCUUGCUUCCUUUGAUGACUUGGAAAGGAUCUGCAGUCCCCCUUAAAGCCCAAGAAUGUCUUCUCUUCCACGACAGCCGUUUGUGGACACAUACUGCUUACCUCCCUGACUGCAGGACAAGGUCCUUCAAAGCUGGAACUCUGACUGCGCUCAGUGAUCCCGCAGUGCUCCUCUGUAGAGUGGGAACCCAGGUCCAUUUCAAAUAUCUACGUUGGAAUGAGUGGAUCUCGCUGGGGAAUAGGGAAAUUUGGAUGCAGAGACACAGAGAAAAUGCCAUGUGAAGAUGGAUCAGAGACAGAAGUGAUGCGGCUGCAAGCCAAGGAAUGUGAAGAAUGGCCAGCCACCACCGGAAGCUAGGGGAGACGCCAGCACAGAUUCUCCCUGAGAGUAUCCAGAAGAAACCAACCCUCCAACACCUGGAUUUCAGACUUCUGACCUUGAGAAGUGUGAGCCAAUAAAACAACUGCAGUGGAGUCAGUGGUUCUUGUUUUAAGCCACCCAGUUUGUGGUCAUUGGUUAUGGCAGUCCUAAGAAACUCAAACUCACCUCAGCACAGUGGGGAGGUGAGAAGGACAAAGACGGGGGUCCCUAUUUU